GUUGGCUUUUAACCAAUUGGUCGCUGGUUCGAAUCCAGCACGACCCACCA
rnacentral:tRNA from 1 species